rfam:Castellaniella defragrans 65Phen complete genome
CGCUUUUUUUGCCCAGGCGGAGCUCGACCGCCAACUGAAGAAGUGAACGCCUAUAUCGACGGACAUCGGGACCUGUACGGGGUCGAGCCGAUCUGCAGGGUCUUGCAGGUUGCCCCG